rnacentral:sRNA from 1 species
AUGAAGUGCAUUUUUAUCAGUUUCAUUUCAACCGUUGCCUACAAUAUGAAGUGGAUGUCCUUGGUCUUUCUAUGCGGUCUGCUCGCCAUGGCAGUGGCUUCUCCGCUAAAUCCGUGUAAUGUCAUUAUCAAUGGAGAUUGCCAUUAUUGUGCAUUGUGCAUAAAGUGAUGGUCUUGUUUAUUUUAUUUGUACACAAACUCUAAUAGUUGGCGUUCUUUUCAGUUCGAACUUCAUUUCUUACUGCAAAAAUUAAUAAAAUAAUAUUAUAAACAA